rnacentral:rRNA from 1 species
AAGCGUCGUAGUUGAAUUUCGGGGUCAGUAGGUUGGUCGUGCCACCGGUACGUACUGGUCUCACUGAUUCCUCCUUCCUGAUGAGCUGUAAUGCCAUUAGUUUGGUGUUGCAGGGAAUCUGGACUGUUACUUUGAAAAAAUUGAGUGUUUAAAGCAGGCUAACGCUUGAAUACAUUAGCAUGGAAUAAUGAAAUAGGACGUUCGAUCCUAUUUUGUUGGUUUCUAGGAUUGACGUAAUGAUUAAUAGGGAUAGUUGGG